GAGGAAGGUACUAACAAGGAUUAUGGCAACCUUUAUUGCAUUUUUGAAGAGUAUACUGAAGACAAUGAGGAAGUUGUAUCUAAGGAGGAUGAGAUGGCUGUUGCAUGUGAUGAAAAAUCUGAUCCAAAGGAGGAAGAAAUUACUCUGUCCACGACUGAACAUACACAGACC